rnacentral:rRNA from 1 species
CUCCCAUAUGGUCGACCUGCAGGCGGCCGCGAAUUCACUAGUGAUUAGAGUUUGAUCCUGGCUCAGAUUGAACGCUGGCGGCAUGCUUUACACAUGCAAGUCGAGCGGCAGCGCGGGGGCAACCCUGGCGGCGAGCGGCGAACGGGUGAGGAAUACAUCGGAACGUACCCCGGAGUGGGGGAUAACGCCGCGAAAGCGGCGCUAAUACCGCAUAUGCUCUGUGGAGGAAAGUGGGGGCUUCGCAAGGACCUCACGCUCUGGGCGCGGCCGAUGUCCGAUUAGCUAGUUGGUGGGGUAAUGGCCCACCAAGGCGACGAUCGGUAGCUGGUCUGAGAGGAUGAUCAGCCACACUGGGACUGAGACACGGCCCAGACUCCUACGGGAGGCAGCAGUGGGGAAUUUUGGACAAUGGGGGCAACCCUGAUCCAGCCAUGCCGCGUGCGG